GGACGUUUGGGCAGGAUCGUGAGUUCAAAGCCAGCCUCAGCAAUUUAGCAAGGCCCUAAGCAACUGAGACUCUGUCUCUAAACAAAAUAUAAAAAAAGACUGGGGCGGGGCUGGGGUUGUGGCUCAGUGGUAAAGUGCUCACCUAGCAUGCAUGAGGCACUAAGUUCGAUCCUCAGCACCACAUAAAUAUAAAAAUAAAGAUAUUGUGUCCACCCAAAACUAAAAAAUAAAUAUUAAAAAAAUUUAAAAAGGACUGGGGAUGUGGCUCAGUUGUUAAGUCCCCAUAGGUUCAGUCCCUGCCCCCCACAAAACAACAAAAAUCCCAGAUAUAUGUCAUCUUACUACCGACCUCCACCUGUGAGAAUGUACCCACCAGUCUGCAUCUCCUAUAUAGUUGUUCCUGAAUCAGCUUUCUGGCAAGAUGGUCCUUUAGGAUGAUCAUUUGCCAUCUUCCAAUCAGCUGGUUCUUCAUAAUAAAGUUCUUUCUCUUCCACUCCCUUGCCUCUGCACUGUCCCACUGACUCACCUGAGCAUUAGGAUGACAGUCCUUUAAAUGGACUCCCAUUUUAUCCAUCCCGUCCUGCACAUCACAAGGAGAUCCAUUUGAUGUGCCCUCUGAGCUCAAACUUCCCUGCUAAAGAAUCACCAAUGAUUCUCCACGGUCUACUGUAGCCUCUUCAUUUUGAUGUUAGUCCAGCUGUGGUCCCAACACUACUAUUUAUUUUACAACCCAUUCUUCUCCAGUUCAAAACAUUUCCAGGUAUGCCACAGGCCUUCCUGUGUCUCUGGUCUCAUCCUCGCAGGGUCUCCCUUCAACCCUGUUCAGCACAAAACCCAUCUUGCAAGCUAAAAAUUCAAAGAGGACAUGUUUGUGUUUGAGAACUUUGGUUUGUUUGAAUGUCACCAAUUGGAGUAUCAAAACCUCGUGGAGAGAUGAAGUAUUUAAACUAAGAAGACUGAGUUGUACUGGACUGUUUUAGGUCCCUUUAACAGCCAUUGACCAUCAGCUUUUGUGUCUGACCUAGCAUUUUUGUGUCUACAGGAUUAGCAUAUGCCACACUUGAGGGACCUCUGUCCUCUAUUAAAUCUUCAGGCUGGGAAGGAGAUAGCACCUGACUUCUGUAGGAAAUUUCCGUUUUUUUUUUUUUUUUUUUUUAAUUGAAAGCAUCUGAAUCUGGAAGAUUCCCCCUUUUUUAUGUAACUUGAUUACCUGAUGACCCUACCUACUUUGGGGGGAUUAUGAAAGACUUGCAUGAUUUCAUCAUGGAAGAACCAUGUCCUUGAGGGAAUCAUGUCCUUGGGGAGCUUGUAUUGUUAACUUGACUUUAUGUUCCCAAAGCAUGGUCAUUGGGCU
rnacentral:lncRNA from 1 species